GCCUCAUAGGCCGGCUGUCUCUGACCGUGUGGGCCCCCACACAAAAGGCUUGAUGGGCCUCUUGCUCAUUUGCUGUUCGGGCCCAGUCCAAAUCUCUCUAUUUCUCGCGGGCCGAAUCGGCUAAUUGCGGCGCGGCGCCCACGCCGUUCGCGCUCACCCCCCACAAGCCCCGGCGCCGCAGCCAUGGCGGACGGCGAGGAGGAGGAGGAGGCGCACGAUUGGAGGCGAUCGCGGGCGGCCUCGCCAAGCGCCCGCGGCAGCCGGAGUUGGAGGUUGGAAGUACAAAGGAGAUUUUACCAAAAUUGGCAACAUUUUACCAGAUUCAUCAAUUCGAGGUCAUGUGACAAAAAAAAAAAAAAGGAGUUCCUGGAUGAACGGUAUGUCUCACCUUAAAUCACCUCAAUUGAUAGUCCCUGUUACGUUCGCAAAUUGGCAGUGAGUUUUUGUGCUAUUUGAAUCAGAACUGGUGUGCUGCUUGCCUGCUUCACAAAUUAUAAGAACAUCUGCCGCUUUGGUUUGAGUGAUACCAAAUAUGGUUAACCUUGUAUUAUAUUGUCGUACACCUUUAAUAACUUGUAUGAAAUAUUCAUAGAUUGUAUGAUCAUUAAUGAUAAAUCUUCUGGCAUUCUUCUCA